UACGGAGGGAGCAAGCGUUGUUCGGAAUUACUGGGCGUAAAGAGCGCGUAGGCGGCCUGUUAAGUCGCCUGUGAAAGGCCGGGGCUCAACCCCGAGCACUGCAUGCGAUACUGCAUGGCUAGAGGGAGGUAGGGGCGAGCGGAAUUCCCGGUGUAGCGGUGGAAUGCGUAGAUAUCGGGAAGAACACCUGUGGCGAAGGCGGCUCGCUGGACCUUUACUGACGCUGAAGCGCGAAAGCGUGGGGAGCAAACAGG
rnacentral:misc_RNA from 1 species